UGUAUUAUUAUGUUAUCGGUGUAUUAUCCGGUCGUGUCACCGUAGUACUAUAUAGGUACUUACCGUAGGUGGAUCCAUGUCAAAAAGGUUGUGGUCAGUUGAUAGUGCGACGGUAUAUAAUGGACAAUAGAUCGCGCGAUAAUAGACGAAAAUUAAUAGUGUACGACGAUUUCAACAUUAUUGCUAACAAUACUUCUUUCGAUUAUAUAAGAUUUACGAUAUUAUAUAUUAUAACGUGCGAUGCGCAAACGUCAAACUAAAUAUUUUACCUGGUCGAUCAUCAUUUCCGCCAAAUUUAAUUUCUACCAAUCGCCUAUCUAAAUUAUAGUGUUAGAUCCAUUUAGAGUUACCCAGGGAAUAUUUAUUUGGACCAAUUUGUACGAAAAAUUAAAUUUGGACCUAUUAAUUAGAAUCAUUUUUUUACCACGUUAAGAAUGUACGUAAAACUAUUGAGUUAAUAAAACUUAACUUAGGCCAAUGGGGAAGGGGUGAAGACCCCUUGGGUCCCUCCCUUAAAUCCGCCACUAGACAGCGUUCGUCUGGCAUUCCACGCGAGAAUGUUUUGUCGGAACGAUCCGUGUCUGAUCAGAUCUAAACAUGUUUGUAUAAGUAUGAAUAAAUAACAGACAUAUUAUAUCCAUCUGUGGUCAUUCGCUGGCACACCAUUCGGCGUUUUGUAAAAAGUACAUAAACUUUUCAUUUAAUUUUAAAUGUGAGUACAAGAUCAAUCAAUACAUGUCGGACGGUUCAUGUCUUAAUAGAAUGAAUUGACCAUGUCUUAUCGAUUAAAUCGAUUUAUAGUUAUAGGUAGGAAUUACUACGCGUAAAAUCAAUUAUCUCGACAUACAUCGAUGAUCAAUAACACUGUAUAUAGACUAG